CCGAGUUAUACAACUCACAAACCCUGUGAACAUACCUACUGUUGCUUCGGCGGGAUCAGACGGCCCUGUAACAACGGGCCGGCCCCGCCAGAGGAACCCCUAACUCUGUUUUUAGUGGAAUUUUCUGAGUAUAAACAACAAAUAAAUUA
rnacentral:misc_RNA from 1 species